ACUGAAUUAGGACAGUUUGUGGAGUGCUUUUGUCCUGUGAAUGUGUGUGAUGUGUAUUUGUGCCUUUGGGGCUUGCCGUAGAAAAUAUAUGUACAUGUCAGCUUCUGUGAGAAAAAAGACAUCCUUUCAGUAAACACAGACUGUUACUUUUUUGUUUUAUUAGUCAUUAAGUUUAGGUAAACUCUUGGUUUUAUAAUCACAGUGCAUUGCAUUCUGCCUUGCUCUUGUGUUUGCAGUAUGUGCCUUUGGGUUUGCAGAAGAAAAAUGUUUCGUCAGUUCUUCAGUGCAAAUCAGAGGUGAGAAGGAGCUCACUGGUCAGUGCUAAAAGGGUGUGAGAUCAUGGACCACUGACUGCCAAUAAUAAAUUCCAGCCUGCGGGAUGUUCUAAGAGGCCAUGAAGACAGUCAGCAGGAGACUAUUAAGAGCUCAGCAACAUCUGUGUGUUUUUAGAACACAGAAGAUCUCUUGAGAAAAACUCUGAGGAGGACACACCAGGCUAAUCGGCCCACAGAUGCCUUCGUAUUUCUGUACAUCACAAAGACCACAGCAGGGCUCCAGACAGCGACUAAAAUAUGCAACAAAAAUAACAAUGUAUGACAAAAGUUUUAAAUCAGGAGAGGUUUGAGUGCGUCCGUGUGCAGUUUUGUCUCGUUAUCUGGUAUGCACUCGCAGCAUAGAACAACGAACACAGAUAUCCAAAAGAUAUUAAAAAAAAAUGUCAAAAGAUAUCAAAAGAACAGUCAAAUUCACUCAUGAGUUAGUGAUUUCAAUCUGUGUCAGUAAAUCAUAUACAGUAUAUUGGACUUUAUGACUUACAUGGAUCUAGAGGUGAAGGACAAUGUUUAAUUGAAGAUGCAUGAAUAAUUCACAAUAGAGUUUUGUUGUGGUAAAUCAAUAAUGCUUUUUAAGCAUACAAAAAAUAUAAAAAAAUACAAAAAAAUUGUUUAUUUGUCAGCUAAAAAGUUUUUUUUAUGUAUCUGAUUCCUUUUAAAAACUUAAAACCACAUUUUAUUAGUGUUAAUGUACACCAUGAAUGUUUGUGUGCAGAACUUACCUCUCUCUCUCUCAAGUGUCACUUCAUUAUUGUGGAGGAGUGAGACAACGUCACAGUGCAUGAUUGUGUCUGUAUUACCUUCAUUAAUGAAUGCUCACAAAACAUUAAUGUGUAAUUGUGUUUUCUGACACCUCCAUCCUCAGGAUGUUCUUACAGGUAUGUCUAAGUGUUAAUUGCAAAACAAACCGAACAAAACAAUAUCUCAUGACCACAGGCAUCAGACAUGGAAGUGCGAGCUAAAAAUGAACUUGUCAGAUGCAAUGGGCGAUAAUCUUGUUUUGCCAAAGUUCUUAGGCAAUCUCUCAACAGUAAUGCGGUGUACAACUCUUAAAAAAAAGGUGCUUCACGAUGCCAUAGAAGAACCUUUUUGUCUAAAUGGUUCCAUAAAGAACCUUUACCAUCUGAAGAACCUUUCUGUUUCACAAAAGGUUCUUUGUGGUGAAAGAAUAUUCUUCAGAUUAUAAAAAGGUAAGAAAGAGAUGAUUCUUUAAAGGUCCUUUGACUGAAUGGUUCUUUAAGGAACCAAAAAUGGUUAUUCUAUGGCAUCGCUGUAAAGAACCUUUUAAGCACCUUUAUUUUUAAGAGUUUACUAACCAGCCACAACAACAUCAAUAAACAUUGUGUGUCUUGAUUUUAGUGGCAUUACAUUUGGUGGAUUCUUAAAAGACAGCCUUUUUGUUUCAUGGUCUCCGUUUGGCAUAUUUUGAAGUAUGCAUUAAGUGUACAGUAUCCUUCACAUCACUCACAAUCCUUUCCACAUUCCAGUUAAAAAGUCUGAACUCAACUUGUUUGAGUUUAUUAUAAAAAAA
ensembl:lncRNA